CACAGGCUGUGGGCUCUCCCGCUCUGCACUCCACUGCUUCGCUGGCUCCCAGUGCCUGGAACCAUGAUUGAGGGAACGAGUGUGACCUGGGUUCAAACUGCCAAGCGUAAGCAGGGCCGGCGGCAGGAACUGCAGAGUGACGGGGGCGCAACAGCUGGAAGCAGUUGGAGCAUAAAGGGCUUUGGAGAUAAGAGCCGCACAGCAGAUGUGGGAUCCUCCGUCCAGCACCCUCUCACUGGUUCCCAUUAGCGAGCUCCUGGCAGAGGCUGCAGCCUGAAGCACCACAUUGCCAAUGGAACAAGCAGAGCAGAGAUUUACAGUGGCAGACGCGACACGCCGACCCUUCCACUCCACUUGUACAGCAGCAUUUUCAUCGAUCUCUCGGAAAGCUGACAGCUCGGCAAAAGAAUGAAUCGCUUGUUUCCACGGCACUGCCAACAGAUCCUUCAGUGUUCCACUGGAGAGAGACAGAGACAACAGCCGGCAGCCCCACAACCCACCACCACAUCACAGCUGCCUCAACCCCACCUGCCGUGCAACCACCACAACAUCACAAUGACCACAACACCCAGAACCCACUGACUACCACGACAUCUAGACCGCCUCAGUCCACUGCCUGCUGCAGCCUCGCCUGCGGAACCGGCUUCAGCACCACCGCAGCCCCUCCUCACAACCCAGCUGGAAUCAUGGCAUGUUCCACAUGACACGGAGUCAUGUGGGAAUGGGAGCAUUCGACAACACUCAGAAAUGACUUUUUGCUCCUCCUGAAUCCCGUACACAGCUCUCCUGGUAGCUAAUGCCCUGUGUCACCUGCGGGGUGACUGGGCUGCUUAGUUUCUUUUCUGUGGGAGGAGGUGGAAGUGGGAACAGAGUGAGAAGGGAAUUCAGUUCAGUGUUUGGGACUGCGGGUCCCGAGCCUGCCAGCUGUUAACUCCUGGCUGGAGCUGCCUGGAUUUCAGAGAGGAUCUGGGCAGAUAUACAGAUUCUGCCCUGCGGAAUAGCUCGCAGGGCCCUGGCUAAGUCAGGGCUUCGCAGUCAUAGCUCAGUGUCCCAGGCCUGGCAUUAGGGGCAUGUCCCUUUUCUCCACACCAGGGCAGUAAAUAUAAUUAGAAUAAACACUUAGCUCUUACUGAGUGCUUUUCA
rnacentral:lncRNA from 1 species